UAGAGCAAAGACAACUGGUGGUUACCUGACACAAUAAGAUUCUGGCGCUAAGAAGCAGAAAUGUGUGACCUUGGUUCCUC
ensembl:misc_RNA predicted gene, 27793